AAAAAAAGUCAGUUAUGGAGGAUUUCAGCAGAAUGUGAUGCAAUUCCCAGGCUGGGAGCAGCUCUCGCUGGCUGCGCUGCUCUCCAGAGGGAAUUCCAGGGGACAGCUCGGGAGAAUUCCUGCUGCUCUGAGCCCCUGACAUCACUCCCAGCCCCGCUCCUCUUCUCGCCACCAUCCCCAGGCUCCAAAGCUCCGGGAGCCCUGGGGAAGCUCCAUUCCUGCGGCCGGAAUUCCCUCCUCCGCCAGGGCUGCUGCUUGGGUCCGCGGGAGAUGCCGAGGGAACGCACGCCGGGAGUGGCGAAUCCCGGUUUGGCAGCUUUGAUCCCGCUGCGUUUAUCCCCUUGCGGCUGGAAUUGCAAUUAUUGCAGCUCCCCUCCUGCAGUUCCUCCCUCGCAGCCAGCCCAGCUCGGCAUAAUUCGGGUUUCCCAGCUUGUGCUGGGCCAGUGAAAGCCUUUCAACAGCCUCUGGAUGCAGACCUGGGAUUUUCCUUCUUAGGGCUUUAUGUGCAAAGUCCCCGGGAUUCCUCUCCGGCCGUGGCCUAUAUAUUUAAUCUUGAUCCCUUAGGAAAAAAAAAAAAAACCAAAAACCCAAAAAACCCAAAAAACCCUGGUGUUCGCACUUUUUAAAUAAAAACAGCUUAUGAGCUUUGAA